AGAGAACUAGAGGCUGCAGCGGCAGCAGUUGGAGCAUCUCACUGCGGGGCUCGGGAAGGAGGAAAGGAGUGAGCAUGUCCUGCUCCUGCAUGUCCCUGCUUAAGCUCAGGACUGGCCCUUCCAGGCCAAGGACCCCAGCAUAGACCCCAGGACAGGGCCCCAAGGAUCCCUGGCUCAUGAGAGCGGCUUGCUGGGCUGCCCCAAGAGAGCCUGAAGGAAACACAUUGUUGAGCUGAGCUGACGUCGCUGUUUCUUCCAGACUGCUCUCUAAAGUGGGCAGGGUAGCGACCGGCCGGCUCCGAUGGUGACGUCCCACUGCCAAGGGGUGGGAGUGGGGAGAGUCUCCACAGAGCUUCGGAGAAGCUGCUAAGAUGGAAAAGUGGAAACUUGGCAGACAGAUCCAGCCUCCCUGGCCACUGGCCCAUGCUCGUGGCUCCUGGAUGGCGCUGCCACGUUCUGAGCAGCUUGGGACAGGUGGAGAUCAGGACUGGCAGCUGCAAGGACACACCAGAGCCACAGAAACUAAAGAGAAUUUCCAAAAGGAGUCUAUGGUGAAGUCUCUGAGGAUGCAAAGAAGACAAGGAGAAUGAAAAUCCAAUGAAAGCCUGAUUGUAUUUGUUGACCUUAAGGAAAGUGAUUUUAUGGUACAGCCUCUCUGGAAGGGAGGGUGUGUUCGCUCACAGAAUGCAAAUACCCUUUGACCCCCUAAUCUUUCUUCUAGGAGUUUCUCCUACAGAUAAACUUAGAAGGGUGCUCAAAUAAGUAAGUUCAAGGAUAUCCUCUGAAGCAUUGCCGUAGUAUAAAAAAAGCACAGAUACCCUCAAAGGACAUCAUUAGGGGCCUGGUAAAAUAAAUUCCACACAGUGGAACACCGUGUAGCUCUUUAGAGAAUAAACAGCUCUCUAUAUGUGAUCUGGAAAAAA
rnacentral:lncRNA from 1 species